rnacentral:lncRNA from 1 species
GAUAAUAUGAAAGAAUCCUGAUUAACUUGAUUAACACUAGAGACCAAUAUAUAAUCUCUAGUUCCAGUGAUGAAAAUAAUUGUAUCACUUUUUUCUUGCCUCUACUGUUACAGUGGUAAUAUACAACUUGUAACAAAUGACCAUACCGUGGUUUUUUCUUUUCUUUUUCUACCCUCUCUAGGGAGUUUGAACCGCCCAAGGACAGCUCGGCUUAGCAGAUGUGACAGAUCUGGAACUAGGGUCACACCAGCCCUGUGCCAGUCUCUCUGGGCAUGCAGCCGCCACUGGCAUGUGGAACUCGGCUGGCACAGCCACCCAGUGCUGGGGUUGGAGAAAUUCUAAGGAAAGCCUGCAAGGCAAAACAACUCAGAUGCUUUGGGAAGAAGGAACAGGAUAUUUGGGGUACAGACUGAAGAUGUUUUAUUCCUAACAAGAUGGGACGCUUACAAGAAACACAUGACCAGAGACAAGACGUACACAAAAGACUGAACAAGGCCAAGCAGAGAGCCGCCUGCAUUCCAGGGGAGGUUUGUUGUGUUGCGCUCGUUCCGUAUCUCUGUGAGAUGAGAUGGGCCGCAUUGGGCUGGGCUGACCUCCACUGGCAAUGAAUGAGGUCCCUUGACAUGGAAAAGCUGCGGCCCCAUACAUACCGACAUACCAGCCUGAUGGUGGCACAUCCCAGAGCGACGGGCAAGCGGGGAGCCCACCCAGAUCCGCUGGCUCUCUCCGUGCCCACCUUCCAUGUUCCUCGUCUCAAGAUCAAGGGCAGGCCGUGUGUCGGGGGACCAGGCUAAUGAGAGCAUGGACCAUGCCAUCACUUUCAUGCACUGGCCCAAGAGUGCAAUUUCAUCUAACGCUAUUUCCUGCAGAUAAGAACAAACAUUCUCCUAUUUGGCUUAUUUGAAAGUGGGGAGGCUGAGGUCCUUUAGAUAUAAUUCAGUGCAAGAUAACAUUUUUGUUCCUUUCAUCAAUAUAUAGAAAUCUUUUUUUUUUUAAAUUGUGCUGAUGGUAAAUUGUUUGCUGGUGUGAUAUGUUCAUUUGGGUACAGAACCCUUACUGUACUCCCUGUUCUCACUGUCCUUCAUUGCCAAAUGGUUGUCCUGUCCCAAGCAGACCUCCAGCUUCUCUGGUUCUCAAGUGGUUUAAUCAAGCCUGCAUUGCACGAUUACUUUACUCACCCAAGACCUCCUAAAUUGUUUCCAGCUUAAAAGAUCAGUUAACAUCGUUUGUGGGGCCAAUAGAAGUUGGAUAAAUAUUUUCUGUGGUUUUUUUUUCUUUAGCUGUGGACAUGAGACCUGUGAUCUUGUCACCUGGAUUUUAUUGAACAAAUAGGCAACAUUUGUUCACUUACCACAAUGACUAAUAUGUUUCAUUUUUUUUACUGCAGCAGAGAAUACAUUCUUAACAUUUAAGAAGGGACACAUUAUUGGUCUACACCAUGCAAAUAAAAUGAGAAAACUGUGUGGUCA